UCUCACUUCUCUAAGGAUAGAUCAUUACUGGAGCAAAGUGGGGUCCUCAGCUCAAAUAACAAAAUCUAUUGUGAAACAGUAUACAAGUCUGUGGGUGUACGCUGACUGACAUGUCAUUUUACACCAGAAAUAGCAGGGGUGUACAGCAAAUGAGUGGUGUGGAACACAACGCAGACCUGCCAAACAACAGAUUCUGCCCACAACUUCAUUUAUCUGCAAGGGAAUUGCAGUAUAGUAGAGAACCAAGAGCAGUCAACAGUUAUGAACCUUUAUUAAAAAUGG